AAACACCUGAGAGCUCUUAUUUACUGCUCUCUGAGAGGAGUGUAGAGAAUGGUAUUCCCAUUCACCACUAGGUGGUGCUGUGAGAGUACACGUCUCUCUCCAGUAGACAGUCAGGUACAUGUCUACCUGCCUAUUCCUCCCCUGGUGCUGUAUGGGUGUACUGUAAGGUGAGUAUGGUCAGGUAUGGUCAGGUGUAUCUAUCCUACCUGCAGUAUUCCUCCCCUGGUGCUGUCUGGUUGGUACUGUAAGGUGAGUAUGGUCAGGUAUGGUCAGGUGUAUCUAUCCUACCUGCAGUAUUCCUCCCCUGGUGCUGUCUGGUUGGUACUGUAAGGUGAGUAUGGUCAGGUAUGGUCAGGUGUAUCUAUCCUACCUGCAGUAUUCCUCCCCUGGUGCUGUCUGGUUGGUACUGUAAGGUGAGUAUGGUCAGGUAUGGUCAGGUGUAUCUAUCCUACCUGCAGUAUUCCUCCCCUGGUGCUGUCUGGUUGGUACUGUAAGGUGAGUAUGGUCAGGUAUGGUCAGGUGUAUCUAUCCUACCUGCAGUAUUCCUCCCCUGGUGCUGUCUGGUUGGUACUGUAAGGUGAGUAUGGUCAGGUAUGGUCAGGUGUAUCUAUCCUACCUGCAGUAUUCCUCCCCUGGUGCUGUCUGGUUGGUACUGUAAGGUGAGUAUGGUCAGGUGUAUCUAUCCUACCUGCAGUAUUCCUCCCCUGGUGCUGUCUGGUUGGUACUGUAAGGUGAGUAUGGUCAGGUAUGGUCAGGUGUAUCUAUCCUACCUGCAGUAUUCCUCCCCUGGUGCUGUCUGGUUGGUACUGUAAGGUGAGUAUGGUCAGGUAUGGUCAGGUGUAUCUAUCCUACCUGCAGUAUUCCUCCCCUGGUGCUGUCUGGUUGGUACUGUAAGGUGAGUAUGGUCAGGUAUGGUCAGGUGUAUCUAUCCUACCUGCAGUAUUCCUCCCCUGGUGCUGUCUGGUUGGUACUGUAAGGUGAGUAUGGUCAGGUAUGGUCAGGUGUAUCUAUCCUACCUGCAGUAUUCCUCCCCUGGUGCUGUCUGGUUGGUACUGUAAGGUGAGUAUGGUCAGGUAUGGUCAGGUGUAUCUAUCCUACCUGCAGUAUUCCUCCCCUGGUGCUGUCUGGUUGGUACUGUAAGGUGAGUAUGGUCAGGUAUGGUCAGGUGUAUCUAUCCUACCUGCAGUAUUCCUCCCCUGGUGCUGUCUGGUUGGUACUGUAAGGUGAGUAUGGUCAGGUAUGGUCAGGUGUAUCUAUCCUACCUGCAGUAUUCCUCCCCUGGUGCUGUCUGGUUGGUACUGUAAGGUGAGUAUGGUCAGGUAUGGUCAGGUGUAUCUAUCCUACCUGCAGUAUUCCUCCCCUGGUGCUGUCUGGUUGGUACUGUAAGGUGAGUAUGGUCAGGUAUGGUCAGGUGUAUCUAUCCUACCUGCAGUAUUCCUCCCCUGGUGCUGUCUGGUUGGUACUGUAAGGUGAGUAUGGUCAGGUAUGGUCAGGUGUAUCUAUCCUACCUGCAGUAUUCCUCCCCUGGUGCUGUCUGGUUGGUACUGUAAGGUGAGUAUGGUCAGGUAUGGUCAGGUGUAUCUAUCCUACCUGCAGUAUUCCUCCCCUGGUGCUGUCUGGUUGGUACUGUAAGGUGAGUAUGGUCAGGUAUGGUCAGGUGUAUCUAUCCUACCUGCAGUAUUCCUCCCCUGGUGCUGUCUGGUUGGUACUGUAAGGUGAGUAUGGUCAGGUAUGGUCAGGUGUAUCUAUCCUACCUGCAGUAUUCCUCCCCUGGUGCUGUCUGGUUGGUACUGUAAGGUGAGUAUGGUCAGGUAUGGUCAGGUGUAUCUAUCCUACCUGCAGUAUUCCUCCCCUGGUGCUGUCUGGUUGGUACUGUAAGGUGAGUAUGGUCAGGUAUGGUCAGGUGUAUCUAUCCUACCUGCAGUAUUCCUCCCCUGGUGCUGUCUGGUUGGUACUGUAAGGUGAGUAUGGUCAGGUAUGGUCAGGUGUAUCUA